AGAAAAAGCUCUGAAACUACAUCACAUGGAGGAAAUGGUGAUUGUGAAAAAAAGCAUGACCGUUGUAAAAAGCAUGACUGUUAAAAAAGUAUGACCGUUUAAAAAAACAACAUGUUUUCUACCUCUUAUAAAUGGUGACUUGCAGCCAGGAAGAGGCAGAAUAGAUGAAGAGGGAAAGCAAGAGGCAGAGGCAGAGCAAUGGCAAUUUAUGCAGAGUAUUUGGCAGCAAGCGUGGCAAUUCCUGAAUUGCCCGUCUUGUGGUUAUUGUCAGGAGGUUGGUUAUGGUUACCGUCUUGUUUCUAUCAGUAAAGGGCCUAAUGGGAGUUGAUUGGUAGGUUAAAACUCAUACGAAAUACUGAUACAUACGGUCCUGAUAUUUCUAGACGUCGACUUUAAAUCAAGUAGGAUUUGUGUUUUGUUCCUUAUACAUCGGUUCUUUUGUUUUUCACUUCAAAUGUGUUUUGGGUUUCAUCCUUAUGCUAUGAAAAUGAUCGUUUCAUCUGAUUUCUGAUUGUUUGGUGUUUGGGUGUUCUGAUAUUUGGCUUUUCAUGUGUCUGGUAUGCUGAACUUUUUGUUGAGAAUUUGAUUGAUUGUUUCGAAAUCUAUUGGACACUGUGGGUUAGGGAUGUUCUGUUAUGCAUUGGAUUUAUACAAGGUUUUUUUAUCCCUAUUUGAAAAUUAGUAGAAAUGUAUUUUGAUUUGUUGUGGAUAGGAAUCCGGAUGCAGGUGUAUUACUGGUAUAGUUAGUUAGAUACAUAUACCAUUUUGGGUUGAGGAUUUUAUUGAAUUGGGUAUGGCGGGUUAUGCCCUGAUUUAUUUUUACAGUGACUUUGAUUUGGGUGGUUUUGAUGUUUUGGAUCUAUUGGAAUGAUCUAGUUGCAAAUAUAUAAAAGUAUGGAUGGUGGUAUCUUUCUUUUAGUUAUGCUAGUUAAGACCAACAUGAUGAGAGAUGGUUCUAGGCGGAGUUAUAGAUGUGUUUAGGAUGCACUUUAUAAUCAGUAGCAAAUUUUCGUUAUUACCAUUUGAUCAAUAUGUUGAAGAAUCCCCUCUUCGAACACACUUAAAUUGCACUUAAAUUGUAUCUAGCCUUGAGUCUUAUCUGCUUCUUAUCUGAAAUCUUUCUUUCUUUUAUCCUUUAGAGUUGAGCAAAGGACUGAUGAACUGAGGGUCAGAUUUUGACACUAAAAGAAUACUUGAACUCCAAUAUACAGACCAUUAUAAUCCUACAUAAACUGUCAUUUUGUUAAUUUUCCUUUUAAAUCUCUUGUGCAACGAUCGAGACAUUUUGUCAAACAAUUCAUAUGCCUUGUCUGUCACGUGUUAUGGUAUAUAUGUUGCACAUCAUUUAUGAGUGCAAAUCAAAGAUUGGGAGUAGCUUUUCUCAAAUGCUAUGGCACCUUUCUAUUUGGCCAAUCCACGUUAUUUCUAUGUGUAUGAUUCCUAACUUGAAAAUUAUUUAACAUUUUUUCUUUCCUGUAUUUUAGAAUUAUUUUAAACAUUUUUUAUUUCUCGUAAUUGAGAAUUAUUUUAUACACUUUUUCUUUCCUGCGAUGGACUAAUGGUAGAUUAUAUAUACGAGCAGCAGUAGAGAAUCAUUGUAAACGGCAUCUAAACUGCGGAAAUCUUGCCUAAUUGUAUUUAAUCUAUUUAAUAUCAUAGAUACUAUUGGGUUUCAUGAGGACUUAGAGACAUUGUAUACCAUAUCUGUGUUGGUCAUAUCCUCUUAGUUUUAACUUAUUUUCGUUACUGCCUGUGUAUUUUUCUAUUCCUUGGCACUGUUUGUGUAUAUGGGGAGCUGUAACUUAUUCAAUCUCAUAGUACUAUUGGGUUUCGUGAGGACUUAUACAUUUGUAUACCAUAUCUGUGUUGGUUAUAUCCUCUUAGUUUUAAGUUUUAACUUCUAUUCGUUACCGCCUCAGUGUAUUUUUCUAUUUACUUGGUAUUGUCUGUGGACUGUGUAUAUGUCAUAUGGGGAAGUGGUUCUGAUCAAGAUCUAAUCAAUUUUGAGGCACUUCCUACCUUUUCCAAUGAAAUGGUGGGACUAAUUCAUUCCCUAUUGCCUUGGUUGAGGUAAGUUUUUUGAAUGCAUUUAUUCAUCUCCUCUGUUUCUUGAAGUUUUGAAAGUAGCCACUUUGCAGGAUUUAGUGGUGUUUUCUGUCACAUCCCCCUCAGUUGCCUCGAGGGUGGAUGUUGGAGAAAUAAAUUUUAUCUAGAGAAUUGCCAACUUAAUGAGGGAUGGGCUAACAUAUGGGCUAGCUAUGGGCAUUAAAUUGGAGACUACGGGAGGAAUGGCACAAGCCAGAGAGUAAGGAAAACUUUCUAUUAUGGAGGAUGGCAUCCCAAUUCCAUGAGGACGGUAGGUAGAUAGCAGCAUGCGUGGGAAAAGGCGCAGGGGCAGUAGAAAUUCAGAGCCAAAUUCCAAAAAUUGUUUCACACGUUAUUAAUGCAUGUGCCUUGAAAAGGACAGAAAAGAAUUGAGAAGGGAGAAUAGGUGAAGGACACUCUACCAGACUUUAAAAGGAGAAAAAAAUUGAGAACAAGCGAGGGUUAUGAGAUGAUUGGAGGCGACCAUGGUUUAGUGGAGUUGUAGAGGCAGGUAGAGAAGAAAAAUAGACAAAUGCAUGGGUAGAAGGGAUUGAACGAGUUUUGAUAAGGGUUUUAAAUCAGCAUAAGGCAUAGAGGAGUUUUGUUAGAUGGUAUGGCUGCAAGUUGCAACUACUAUGCAGAGAAAUAUAAACUCUUGGGCCACCACUAUUGAAAAAUACAUACAGUGGAUCUGUUGGGCUACAGAAACUUUCAAGAAAAUGCAACCGGAUGUUGCCAUGUGUCUAUGUAUAUGUUCUUUGGUCUCUAUUCUCUUUCAAGGAUUUUAAGCAUUUCUGAUCAGAGGAUAGAUGAGGCCAGCGCUUCAUAUCAGGCAGUGGAUCACAUGUCACUUCCCACAAGCCCUGUAACACAAAAAACAGUCAUUGAACCCUAAACUGGGAAAAAUUAGUAUUGUCUUCGCCUGUCAUAUUUUGGCAGGUUUGCAACUAAUAUUUGGUUCAUUGGUGUAGUGGAUGUUAAAAUUCUUCUAUUCUAUUCAUUUUCUUAUAUUGAAUUUGGAGGUUUUCGUUUAUUUUUUUAAAAAUCAAAAUGAACACGUGGUUUUAUGAAUGCACAGUUUGCUGAGAUUCAAUUUUCCAAACUUGUUUGGAUGUGGGCGGUUUAUUUUCAUGAGCGGAAUUCAUGAGCGGAAUUUAUGUUCUUUGUAUUGGCCACCGUGGCCUCUGGAUUUGGGCACCGCGAAUGUGCAGUAUCACAGUGCCCAUAUAAAUUCUCUGCUGCUUACAGAAAGAAUGAGAUUAUCAUAGAAAAUGAAAGGGUUCUUCUUGAUAGGGGAAGCUGCAUUGCAUUCUGAAUACAUGGGUCGACUCAAGAAUUCAUCAAGCACAUUUAUGGAUAAGCUUGUAGACUCCUAUCUUUUCUCUUGUUCUUCUUUCUUUAUCUUACAUCCUACAAAGGAAAAUUGGGUCAACUUUAUUAAUUUUAGCAGAAGGUUAAUGGGCAGUUUAUUGAGUUUCUGCCAAGAUAUCGGUGAACGAGGUCUACUGCAUGGGAGACUCAGGGAUUUUUGCAAAUGCUUCAAAUCAAACCAGAGUGCAGAGCCCGUCAAUAUUUCAUGCCCUAUAGACUCCGGUAUGAGUAAGAUUGCCAAUGUGGAUACUGAUCAAGCAUGUAAAGAUGAAACCAAUCAGAGAAUUCAGGGGAAUUCAUCUACUGUACAAAUCUAUCCCAUUCAAGAUCUUGCGUACCAAUUUUACCAUUGAUGUAAAAAAUUAUGUUCAUUCAGAGCCUCGUAAUCAAAUUGUUGCAGAAGAUGAGGAGAAUUCAACAUUUUGUGAGAAGAAUGUAUCACAAGGCUCACAUUGCUCAUUUCCGAAAGUGAGUAAAGCCAAGCGAGUUCAUUUCAAUCCUGAGUUAUUGGUGUUUCCUAUUAGAGAAGAGACCUUCAAUACCACCUCCCAAUGCCUUACUGCUAAGUUAGGUCUGGAUCAUAAAUCCCUAGGAAUUAAAUGCAAAUGUGUUACAGUUGUAGCUACUGUACUGGCAAUUCUGUUGAUUUUAGUCACCGGUGGAAAUAUCUACUUGGGGUGGCGUAAGGUCCAAGAAAUGGAGAUGACAAAGGCAACGGAUUGAACAGAGUGCGACUCCCCCAACGUUUGGAAACCUUGUCCAAUAUGUGGAUGCUACAUAUUCCAAGGAGGUACACUUUUCAUCUAAUCAUUUCAUUAACUCUUCCAAACCAUGGUUUUGUUAUUUUUCAGCAUUUUUUUGAUGUUAUUAGGACACUUGAUGUGAUUUAUUUGGAUAAUUUUGUUUAAGUUUGAAUUCAGCAUACUCCAGCUGCUGUGAGAAUAUCUGUGUGAAUUCGGAAUAGAAGUCUUUCGCCAUUACCGGCAAAGCCACCUUUUCAAUCUCCAAGUUCAACUUCUCAUGAUGUCUCUAUUAGGAGAUCAUAUAACAUCUAUUUCUGAA